UGAUGUGAGGGUGACCUGGCUGCGACAUGUCACCCCAUUCAUGGACAGGGUUGAUUCGGCUGAUCUGACUGGCUAGGCGGGUGUCCCCUUCCUCACUCACCGCUCCAUGUGUGUCUCUCCUGAAGUUGCUCUCUCUUUGAACACCAUCCAGUAUGGUGCAGCACUCUUGGAGUAUGGGUAGGGUAUUACGUGGUAUGAAGUGUCCACGAAAAGGUUCACUCAUGGGUGAGGCUU
rnacentral:sRNA from 1 species